CUAUACAUGCAAGUCGAGCGAAUGGAUUAAGAGCUUGCUCUUAUGAAGUUAGCGGCGGACGGGUGAGUAACACGUGGGUAACCUACCCAUAAGACUGGGAUAACUCCGGGAAACCGGGGCUAAUACCGGAUAAUAUUUUGAACUGCAUAGUUCGAAAUUGAAAGGCGGCUUCGGCUGUCACUUAUGGAUGGACCCGCGUCGCAUUAGCUAGUUGGUGAGGUAACGGCUCACCAAGGCGACGAUGCGUAGCCGACCUGAGAGGGUGAUCGGCCACACUGGGACUGAAACACGGCCCAAACUCCUACGGGAGGNAGCAUAAGGGAAUCUUCCGCAAUGGACAAAGAUCUGACGGAGCANCGCCGCGGAUGUAGGGCUAACUCCCGCAACGAGCGCAACCCUUGUUCUUAGUUGCCAUCGUUAAAGUGGGCAUUUUAAGGUGACCGCCGGUGACAAACCGGAGGAAGGGGGGGAUGACGUCAAAUCAUCAUGCCCCUUAUGACCUGGGCUACACACGUGCUACAAUGGACGGUACAAAGAGCUGCAAGACCGCGAGGUGGAGCUAAUCUCAUAAAACCGUUCUCAGUUCGGAUUGUAGGCUGCAACUCGCCUACAUGAAGCUGGAAUCGCUAGUAAUCGCGGAUCAGCAUGCCGCGGUGAAUACGUUCCCGGGCCUUGUACACACCGCCCGUCACACCACGAGAGUUUGUAACACCCGAAGUCGGUGGGGUAACCUUUAUGGAGCCAGCCGCCUAAAG
rnacentral:rRNA from 1 species